UACGUAGGGUCCGAGCGUUGUCCGGAAUUAUUGGGCGUAAAGGGCUCGUAGGCGGUCUGUUGCGUCGGGAGUGAAAACUUACAGCUUAACUGUGAGCGUGCUUUCGAUACGGGCAGACUUGAGGCAUUCAGGGGAGAACGGAAUUCCUGGUGUAGCGGUGAAAUGCGCAGAUAUCAGGAGGAACACCGGUGGCGAAGGCGUCGACCUGGGUCGAGACUGACGCUGAGGCGCGAAAGCGUGGGGAGCAAACAGG
rnacentral:rRNA from 1 species